rnacentral:rRNA from 1 species
UACGUAGGGGGCAAGCGUUGUCCGGAAUCAUUGGGCGUAAAGAGUGCGUAGGCGGUUUCUCAAGUCCGCUGUGAAAUCCCCGGGCUCAACCUGGGAAUGGCAGUGGAAACUAGGAGACUUGAAUCUGGCAGAGGGGGGUGGAAUUCCACGUGUAGCAGUGAAAUGCGUAGAGAUGUGGAGGAACACCGAUGGCGAAGGCAGCCCCCUGGGCUGAGAUUGACGCUCAGGCACGAAAGCGUGGGGAGCAAACAGG